rnacentral:rRNA from 1 species
AUUGAACGCUGGCGGCAUGCUUUACACAUGCAAGUCGAACGGUAACAGGCCUUCGGGUGCUGACGAGUGGCGAACGGGUGAGUAAUGCAUCGGAACGUGCCCAGAGGUGGGGGAUAACGCAGCGAAAGCUGUGCUAAUACCGCAUGUGAUCUGAGGAUGAAAGCGGGGGACCAGGCAGCAAUGUUUGGCCUCGCGCCUUUGGAGCGGCCGAUGUCAGAUUAGGUAGUUGGUGGGGUAAAGGCCUACCAAGCCGACGAUCUGUAGCUGGUCUGAGAGGACGACCAGCCACACUGGGACUGAGACGCGGCCCAGACUCCUACGGGAGGCAGCAGUGGGGAAUUUUGGACAAUGGGCGCAAGCCUGAUCCAGCAAUGCCGCGUGCGGGAAGAAGGCCUUCGGGUUGUAAACCGCUUUUGUACGGAACGAAAAGGCUCUGGCUAAUACCUGGGGCUGAUGACGGUACCGUAAGAAUAAGCACCGGCUAACUACGUG